AUAAACAAUGAUUCCCUCUUUUUUUUUGUUUCUCUACACCCCCAGCAGGCUGUAGGCUGUUAUGAUUACAUUGAAUGAGAUAAAAUGCAACAUUCCUCCAGGACAGUGUAGAACAGUUUCAUUUCACAUGGAAAUUUGAAAUUAUCUUGUUUCUGGUUGUAUCCACUUGAGGAAGCACUAGAACUAACACCUCUAAUAAUAUAUGGCUUGAGCCCUUUACCUGGGAGGUUUUUUUUACUUAUUACUGUCACAUUUGGUCACUUGGGAUUUGAUUAUUUCUUUGCCAUAAGAGAAAGAGUGCAAUAAGACGACAAAAGAAAGUGAAGGGAUAUGACCUAUCCCACCCAAAUGAGUUCUUGCCUGAGCUGAAAGAAGAACAACAGCUUGCUCUUCCACCUAACGAAGUGAACUGCAAAUCCAGACAAAACCUAUUGUACAAAUGGAAGUGUUUCUUUUGACCCAUCUCUUGAUAUAAGAAGACAGAAGAACGACACCACGCUGUCAAACUUAGGAUCUGUGAAGGAUAACGAAAGACAAGAUCUUAACUGUGCUGUGAAGGAAUACUUACUCUUGGUAGGGUAUCGUCUGACUGCAAUGACAUUCUAUGAAGAGGUUAUGGAUCAGGAAAAUAGAUACACCAUGUAACUUUGUUGCCUUGUUUCAUGGAAUGCAUAUGUAUGAUUGUGUGAUGCUAUCACUGCCUUACUUGGUAGCUUCAACUUGCCACUCAGUACUUCGGAUCUUGCCGCCGCCAAACUAAUAAGAUUUUGGGACUGAUCUCCACCGUCGUCGUCUCACUAAAGGCUACAGAUCGACUCAUCUCGACCGCGAAUCACAAAACUCUUCAGACUCGUAUCCACCGUGUCGUCUCACUAAAGGCUACGUGUACUUGACAAAUUA